GGGUCACUUAGCGACCUGAUCAGUACAGCCCUGAGUCUACAGUUUGGAUGCCCCAGAUGAGUAAAAAGUUCUUCUGCGUCUUCCUCCAGUCUCACUGAUUUCAUGUGCAGCUCUCUCAGAUGGGAGGGGUCUGAGUAGCUGCUGAGGCCUGAAAGAGGAGUGAGAGCUGAAAAGCAGGACAGAGCUGUGUGUGGUACAAAGAUGAACUGAAGUGUGCAGCGGCAAAGCUGCUAAAAGCAAUCUGGUUAAAACCCUUUGUAAAGAAACCAGCACUCAUCUUUCAGUGCUGUGUGCGUGAAAGCUGCGUGCUUCCUAUCACAGUCUCAUAUGAUUAAUUUCUGACCACUCACUGUGAUGUUAUCAAGAUUUACAUCAAUGUUAUUAUCACUGACUGUACUGAAGAACCUGAAUGAUUUAAUUUCUAUUGUUGAAAAUAAAUCAAUGACAACAUUCCAUUACGUUCACAUUUGGCCACAGUGGCUGUUUCAGCUGAAGAUAUAGAUGUAUAAAAAUUGAAUCCUCCAAAUAAUUUUCUAUUAUAAAAACAUUUUUAGUGUUUGCAAUACCUCAGCAACAUUUCUGACAAAAUAACUGACAUGUAAUGUUUAGAAUAAAUAACUGGAAUAGUGUAAUAAGAGCAAUGAUGUUUUCUAGUAAGAUUAAUUUUAGGAACUAAA